rnacentral:rRNA from 1 species
CCUAAAUACUCCCUGGUGACCGAUAGUGAACAAGUACCGUGAGGGAAAGGUGAAAAGCACCCCGAUGAGGGAGUGAAAUAGACCUGAAACCGGAUGCCUACAAGCAGUCGGAGCCGCUGAUGCGGUGACGGCGUACCUUUUGUAUAAUGGGUCAGCGAGUUUCCGUUCGCGGCGAGCUUAAGCCGAUAGGCGAAGGCGUAGCGAAAGCGAGUCUGAACAGGGCGUUCAGUCGCGGGCGGAAGACCCGAAACCGAGUGAUCUAGCCAUGGCCAGGUUGAAGGUGGGGUAACACCCACUGGAGGACCGAACCCACGCCUGUUGAAAAAGUCGGGGAUGAGCUGUGGCUAGGGGUGAAAGGCCAAUCAAACUCGGAAAUAGCUGGUUCUCCGCGAAAUCUAUUGAGGUAGAUCGUCACGUGUUUACCCUCGGGGGGUAGAGCACUGGAUGGGCUAGGGGGGGCCCAAAGCCUUACCAAACCUAACCAAACUCCGAAUACC